AUGUCGUCACUUCAUUUUUUGGCGCCUGCGCAUAAAUCUGAGAAGAGGGAGUUUGUCAUAAUCGUUUAUCUAGACACUUGAUAGGUUGUGUGAAAAUAUUACUGAUGUUUACUGAUGUUUCACGUUAAAAAUGGACCAAAAGAUUAAUGCUAAACAACGUUUGUCAUGUUUGAACGAACGUAAAUAGAUUAUUUACUAGUUUUUUUUAGCUUUUCGGCGUGAUUUUACACCCCCCCACCACGUUUUGUGGGAGCCUACUGAACGCUAACUAUUUGGUGUUAUUUGGACAUAAAUUAUGAACUUUGUCAAAAUAAACCACAUUUGUUCUGGACCUGGGAUUCCUGGCAGUGCCUUCUGAUGGAGAUAAUCAAAGGGGAUCGCUACAUAUCUCAUUACCUGUAUCAUAGCCCUGAGAAAUACCUCUGGAACUAAAGCAGUCCCCAGACUAGUUGUCAAGAUCAUAGGCAGCAAACAGGUCAAGUAUUUCAUCACAGAAGAGACAGACAAGGUGAAUGGAGCAGCUAUUCCUCUGGCGGUUGUGGGUAAUGUGAUGAAGGAACCACCAGACAAACAGGACUCUAUAGUGGCCAGAUCACACAGACAAGCUGAGGCUGAGGGGGGUGUGGGGUCAGCUUUUCAGGCUACGCUCCACAAGGCAGUUAACCCACUGUUCCCCGGGCACCGAAGACGUGGAUGUCGAAGAACAGGAAGACUGUCUCUCAUUGGCCAUCAGUGAGCAGCUGGCUGACUGGCAGGCUUCUUCACCCCUGAGGACCAUUCAGGAGGAAGUUGUUGCAAUUGAACCUGCCCUCAAAGGGACCAUCAGCCAAUCACAGAUCACUCAGGCGUUUCUGAGACACGAGGUUCCACUGGGAUUAACAACGUUCCGUCAGCUCCUCCUAAUGUUCUGUGAUGCUGACCAUCCAGCUCAGAGUUUGGGCAUGUGUCUCACACGAGGAGUCCCCAGGGGUUGCACUGAGCCCCCACCAGCUUCUGUGGAUCCCAUGGAAACAGAAAGAUGGCUCCAAGGGUUCCAGAGAAUGGAGAGAGCCAUGCACAUAUGUGACAGCCAGAACACUGGUUACAUAGACCAGGACAAAGCCAGACGUCUGAUUCAGAACUACAACCACAUGUUCAACCUGAACCUGAGUCCCCUGGGGAUCAGUGAGGUCACCCAUGGUCAUGGAGGGAGAAGACAGGGCAAUGUCCACCUGGACACAGCCCUACAGUACCUAAAGGAACUGUGAUGAAGGUGUUUGGUGAGGACUGUUUUAUGUAUGCUAGCCGACUGCUUGAAAUCAUACUAUCUUUCGGGGAAGGUGUAUUGCUGUUAAGAAUGUCAAUAAACCACUCCCAUGAAGCGAUGGACAACAAGGAUGCAUUUGAUUGUUUCAUUUCUGUGAAACCGAAAGUAAAAUAUCGACUUGAGGAGAGCAACUGAAAAACUGUUUGAUAUUCAUUGUUGAAGUAUCCAGCAGCAAAGACAGAUGAUGGGGAAAGAGAACCAACAUAGACCAUUAACCAUGAGCUAUAGAGACGCCCUUCAAACGCAAUCUAACACAGUAAGGACUUCUGCUAGACCAGCAGCCUCUACUACUGCCCAGAAUAGUUACCUGACUAGACUGAGGAGCAGCCUGCAUGACCUGAUGAACCAGCACCCAGAGGGAGUACCCCUUUCCCGUAUGAGUCAGGCCUGCUCUCUCCUCCUGCACCCGGAGGUACUUAAGCCCUACCCCUCCACCAGGUACCUCUUGGCCUCCCUCCCCGAUGUGGUGAGGCUUCAGGGGAUCGGGGUACAGACACUGGUGCUCCCAGCACUAGGCCAUUGUGGAGGUGGGACGGAUGCCGGUCGUGUUGGUUGUCGCUAGCCUUCUUGACCUAUGCCAAGCAGGGACCAGGCCGUCCGCAAAGAGACCGAUUUCAAGAUUCCAAUCAAAGUCAAGCCAACGGAAGAACCUCAAAUGUACACGGCCCAUAACGAUAUCAGGGAAAAGCAUUAGGGAAGUCUACAUACAAGACAAUGGCACAUCCUACAAGACGGGAUACACACAAUCAACACAUUCUUACCAUGAAAGUACACGCCUGUGAAUUACAGAUUGAUGAUUUUUUACAUUUUUAGACUGUGGAAAUACAAUUCAUUCAAUGAUUUUAUAUACAUAUAUAUAUACAUACACACACACAUACAUAUACACACACACACACAGAUAUAUAUAUAUACAUAUAUAUACACACACACAUACACAUAUAUAUAGUAUACACACACAGAUAUAUAUAUACAUAUAUAGAUAUACAUAUAUAUACAUAUAUAUACACACACACACAUAUAUAUAUAUAUAUAUAUAUAUACACACACAUAUAUAUAUACACACAUAUAUGAUACAGCAUGGCAAACAAGAUUUCACUUUAAAGUGUACAUGUUUGAACAUAGACACUUUGUACCCAAUUUUAUUCAUGUUUGACAGAUUUUAGACAAGUAAACCUAGAACAAUACAUAAAUCAAUCAUUGUUGUACAGCGUCAAUUGGAUUAUAUUUAUCUUAGGUAAUUACUUUAUUUUGAUAGAGUGAUAAGCUACAUACUUUACCAUAUCAUACAGUUUUCUAAACAUUUGAAUAAAACAUUCUGAAAGACAUGGAACGUGCUUUUUUUCGCCUCAAACUGAACAGGCAAGGUCUAUUCUGUCAUGUUAAGUUCUUGGUAAAAGCUUAGCGUGCACAAGGUCACAUCCAUUCAACAGCACUGUACAAUAACACACCCACUACCUCUCCAACACUCUAGUCAUCUUACUUUCCCACACAACCUUUAACAUACAGUACAUUAAAGUCAAAAUAAACCAAAAACAUUGAAUGACACUGAGGGGCAACGUUGUUACAUUUAAUGCCCGUACACAUGCAUACACACACACUCAUUCACACGUAACUAGUGCCAUACAUGCACUCAAAAGUAUUCAGUUGUCCUUGAUUUCUUGCAUAUUUUCCUUUGUUUUUCACUUUAGUUCAUUGUUGCUACAUUGGGGGACGGGGAAUGGAAUCAUUUUAUUAUGAUUUUUUAUUUUUUUCAGGGGUGGUGGGUCUCGGAUGAUUGAGGGGCAGCUCUUGGGAACUUUGGGGGGGGGGAUCUUGGAGGGCUGGUGGCCUGGCGGUUGAGAACUUGGGCCGGUGGCUGAUAGGUUCCUGGGUCGGGUCCCUGUUUCUGACCAUGUGGGAGAUCUGUCGGCAUGCCCUUGGGCAGGACGUUGACCCUGGUUGCUUCUGUGGGUCCCUCUGGAUGGGAGUCUGUUAGAUGACAAUGGAUUUUUGUUGAGCGGCUGUACUGCAGGUAGAUUGUAUGUUUAAUAUUCAG
rnacentral:lncRNA from 1 species